rnacentral:tRNA from 1 species
UUUUGCAUGCAGGAGAUGUGGGCGAACAUCCCGCAAGUCUUA